AGCAGCCGCGGUAAUUCCAGCUCCAAUAGCGUAUAUUAAAGUUGUUGCAGUUAAAAAGCUCGUAGUUGAACUUCGGGGUUUACCCAUUGGUCAGGCUUAAUUGUCUGUACUGGUGAGAUAAAUCUCUACCUUCUGAGGAACUUUCAUGUCAUUAAUUUGGUGUGAUUGGAAAUCAGGACUAUUACUUUGAAAAAUUAGAGUAGUUUAAAGCAGGCUAACGUCUGAAUACAUUAGCAUGGAAUAAUGAAAUAGGACGGACUGAUUCUAUUUCGUUGGUUUCUAGGAUCACCGUAAUGAUUAAUAGGGAUAGUUGGGGGCAGUUAGUAUUCAAUUGUCAGAGGUGAAAUUCUUGGAUUUAUUGAAGACUAACUACUGCGAAAGCAUUUGCCAAGGAUGUUUUCAUUAAUCAAGACGAAAGUUAGGGGAUCGAAGACGAUCAGAUACCGUCGUAGUCUUAACCAUAAACCUAUGCCGACUAGGGAUCGGACGAAGUUAAUUUAGUAAUGUACGUCGUUCGGCA
rnacentral:rRNA from 1 species